UACGGAGCACCGCUGGCGACGCGCUUGUGCUGGUGCUUCGUCGCAGCUUAUCGGCACCUCUUCCUGCCGCCGUGUGCCUGCGUUGCUGAAUCCUCUCUGCCCUCGGGCGCAGGCGCACACGUCAUGAACGCCGUGCUUUCUCUGCUGGACGACACAGUCUACAUCCUCCUAGGCAUGACAACGGUGCUGCUCUGCGCGGUAGCCUUUGGCCUCAGCCGUAAUGUCUAUCGCGAAACGUUGCGUGCACAGGCUCGAUCGCAACUUCGCCGCGAGGAUUUGUUGACGCACGAACAGCAGAACUUCCUGCGGUCCAUGCAGGCCGAAGAAAAGGUGGAGGCGGUACUGCGCAAGGCGGGGUGGACAGAUGUUUUUCUGCGGCGACGUGUGGCUGUCGCGCGUGUCGGGCACAACCGCGAAAUCGACGUCGUCGCGGUCGGCCCUAUCAUCCUCGUCGUCGAGGUGAAGAACUGGCAAGGCUUUGUGUGGAGCAACGGUCCGCGUUGGUACCAGUGCCGCAAUCGCAAACGGAUGGACACGCUGGAGUUUGAGGAUGUGCAGGAAGAUAACGUGGAGAAGGCUGCCGCACUGCGCCGCUACAUUGAAAACGCGCGUCGUGUAGAGCUGCCAGACUCGCAUCUCGUGCAGUCGGAUGCGGUUCUGUUCGGUCGAGACACGGGCGCCAACGGCAAGCGCGCCACAUGGUACUCCGACAAGUCCAUCCACAAGGUGUGCGGCAAGUGUGUCGUUCCCGUCGUCGUGUUCACGCAUCCGCGUGUCAAGCUGGACCCCUCGACAGUCAAGGCUAAGAAGUACGUUUUCACCCUCGACACGUUCGGCGUCUUUGCCUCGCAUGCUAUCCGCGGUAACAUAGAUCUGGAGGCACUGAACGACGUCGCAGCGGCGUCGUGGUGGUCAUCCUGGCUGCCGUUCAUGCGGGUCUCUCGCCCUUCAACACCCACGUCCGCCUCUGCCGCUGUCUUCCUCACCGAAGAGCAGCGAAGCAACGUAGCUGGCGUCGUGGACGUGCUGCGUACGUGGGAUUUAGUGUACCUGCUCGACCACCGCCUCAUCACAGGUGACCUUGAGAAGAUUGAUGUUCCUAGUGCGUUUUGCAUGUACAACCGCAAGCACCUCCUCGGCGUUAACGUGCGGUGGAACCGCGGCGCAGUCGGUCUCGUAAAGACGCUGCUCACCAACAGCGUUGGCAGCGUUGAACUCGUCCUGACAACGGCGAAGCGGCUGGCGAAGAAGCGCAAGGAGAAGAAGCCGCGCAACGCCGAGGGCAACAUCGUCUUCCCUAUGAAGCCGAAAAAGAACAAGGAGAACGGAUACCUGGUGAUGAAGAUGGCGGGCACAGGAAAGCUGGAGACGGUGCUCCUGUGCGAUGUCGAUCACAUUUCGCUGAGCCGUCACUUGUACGAGAGUGAGAAGCAGCUAGAGUAAAAAACCGCCGCCCCGGACUGCGUGGGCGGGUGUUUCGUGGCGACCUUGUCAGAGUGGAUGAUGCUGUCGUGGCUCUUGUCGUUUUUCUUUUCCUCUUUCGUUUUUUUUUUGUCAGUGUUCGUGUUUGUGUGUGUCCUCGGCACCCCUUUCGGUUAAGCUGCCACUUUAUUAAUGUAGGCUGCAUUAUACCAAUGCCGGAUGCGAUGCGGAAGGGCGUUGGAGCUGGAGAGUAGCGUCAACGUUUUGCCGUGAGUCCGUCGUCUGCCGAUGUCCUCACCUCCACCACUACCCCUUCGCUGUGCCUUCUCUUGCUCUGUUUGAGCGCGUUCCUAUGCGCGGGUGCGCUCGGUGAGCCAUGGACGCCAAGCGCGU
rnacentral:misc_RNA from 1 species